UUAAGCGACUAAGCGUACACGGUGGAUGCCCUGGCAGUCAGAGGCGAUGAAGGACGUGCUAAUCUGCGAAAAGCGCCGGCGAGGUGAUAUGAACCUUUGACCCGGCGAUGUCCGAAUGGGGAAACCCAGUGCAAUUCGUUGCACUAUCGUUAACUGAAUACAUAGGUUAACGAGGCGAACCGGGGGAACUGAAACAUCUAAGUACCCCGAGGAAAAGAAAUCAACCGAGAUUCCCCCAGUAGCGGCGAGCGAACGGGGAGCAGCCCAGAGUCUGAAUCAGCUUGUGUGUUAGUGGAAGCGUCUGGAAAGUCGCACGGUACAGGGUGACAGUCCCGUACACGAAAGCACACAGGUUGUGAACUCGAAGAGUAGGGCGGGACACGUGGUAUCCUGUCUGAAUAUGGGGGGACCAUCCUCCAAGGCUAAAUACUCCUGACUGACCGAUAGUGAACCAGUACCGUGAGGGAAAGGCGAAAAGAACCCCGGCGAGGGGAGUGAAAAGAACCUGAAACCGUGUACGUACAAGCAGUGGGAGCACCUUCGUGGUGUGACUGCGUACCUUUUGUAUAAUGGGUCAGCGACUUAUAUUCUGUAGCAAGGUUAACCGUAUAGGGGAGCCGAAGGGAAACCGAGUCUUAACUGGGCGUUAAGUUGCAGGGUAUAGACCCGAAACCCGGUGAUCUAGCCAUGGGCAGGUUGAAGGUUGGGUAACACUAACUGGAGGACCGAACCGACUAAUGUUGAAAAAUUAGCGGAUGACUUGUGGCUGGGGGGGGGGUGAAAGGCCAAUCAAACCGGGAGAUAGCUGGUUCUCCCCGAAAGCUAUUUAGGUAGCGCCUCGUGAACUCAUCUUCGGGGGGGGGGUAGAGCACUGUUUCGGCUAGGGGGGGGGGCCAUCCCGGCUUACCAACCCGAUGCAAACUACGAAUACCGAAGAAUGUUAUCACGGGAGACACACGGCGGGUGCUAACGUCCGUCGUGAAGAGGGAAACAACCCAGACCGCCAGCUAAGGUCCCAAAGUCAUGGUUAAGUGGGAAACGAUGUGGGAAGGCACAGACAGCCAGGAUGUUGGCUUAGAAGCAGCCAUCAUUUAAAGAAAGCGUAAUAGCUCACUGGUCGAGUCGGCCUGCGCGGAAGAUGUAACGGGGCUAAACCAUGCACCGAAGCUGCGGCAGCGACGCUUAUGCGUUGUUGGGUAGGGGAGCGUUCUGUAAGCCGUUGAAGGUGUGCUGUGAGGCAUGCUGGAGGUAUCAGAAGUGCGAAUGCUGACAUAAGUAACGAUAAAGCGGGUGAAAAGCCCGCUCGCCGGAAGACCAAGGGUUCCUGUCCAACGUUAAUCGGGGCAGGGUGAGUCGACCCCUAAGGCGAGGCCGAAAGGCGUAGUCGAUGGGAAACAGGUUAAUAUUCCUGUACUUGGUGUUACUGCGAAGGGGGGACGGAGAAGGCUAUGUUAGCCGGGCGACGGUUGUCCCGGUUUAAGCAUGUAGGCGGAGGUUCCAGGUAAAUCCGGUACCUUUUAACGCUGAGGUGUGAUGACGAGGCACUACGGUGCUGAAGUAACAAAUGCCCUGCUUCCAGGAAAAGCCUCUAAGCAUCAGGUAACAUCAAAUCGUACCCCAAACCGACACAGGUGGUCAGGUAGAGAAUACCAAGGCGCUUGAGAGAACUCGGGUGAAGGAACUAGGCAAAAUGGUGCCGUAACUUCGGGAGAAGGCACGCUGAUAUGUAGGUGAAGCCCCUGCGGGUGGAGCUGAAAUCAGUCGAAGAUACCAGCUGGCUGCAACUGUUUAUUAAAAACACAGCACUGUGCAAACACGAAAGUGGACGUAUACGGUGUGACGCCUGCCCGGUGCCGGAAGGUUAAUUGAUGGGGUUAGCGGUAACGCGAAGCUCUUGAUCGAAGCCCCGGUAAACGGCGGCCGUAACUAUAACGGUCCUAAGGUAGCGAAAUUCCUUGUCGGGUAAGUUCCGACCUGCACGAAUGGCGUAAUGAUGGCCAGGCUGUCUCCACCCGAGACUCAGUGAAAUUGAACUCGCUGUGAAGAUGCAGUGUACCCGCGGCAAGACGGAAAGACCCCGUGAACCUUUACUAUAGCUUGACACUGAACACUGGUCCUUGAUGUGUAGGAUAGGUGGGAGGCUUUGAAGCGUGGACGCCAGUCUGCGUGGAGCCGACCUUGAAAUACCACCCUUUAAUGGCUGGUGUUCUAACGUAGACCCGUAAUCCGGGUUGCGGACAGUGUCUGGUGGGUAGUUUGACUGGGGCGGUCUCCUCCCAAAGAGUAACGGAGGAGCACGAAGGUUAGCUAAUCCUGGUCGGACAUCAGGAGGUUAGUGCAAUGGCAUAAGCUAGCUUGACUGCGAGAGUGACGGCUCGAGCAGGUGCGAAAGCAGGUCAUAGUGAUCCGGUGGUUCUGAAUGGAAGGGCCAUCGCUCAACGGAUAAAAGGUACUCCGGGGAUAACAGGCUGAUACCGCCCAAGAGUUCAUAUCGACGGCGGUGUUUGGCACCUCGAUGUCGGCUCAUCACAUCCUGGGGCUGAAGUAGGUCCCAAGGGUAUGGCUGUUCGCCAUUUAAAGUGGUACGCGAGCUGGGUUUAGAACGUCGUGAGACAGUUCGGUCCCUAUCUGCCGUGGGCGCUGGAGAAUUGAGGGGGGCUGCUCCUAGUACGAGAGGACCGGAGUGGACGCAUCACUGGUGUUCGGGUUGUCAUGCCAAUGGCACUGCCCGGUAGCUAAAUGCGGAAAAGAUAAGUGCUGAAAGCAUCUAAGCACGAAACUUGCCCCGAGAUGAGUUCUCCCUGACCCUUUAAGGGUCCUGAAGGAACGUUGAAGACUACGACGUUGAUAGGUCGGGUGUGUAAGCGCAGCGAUGCGUUGAGCUAACCGAUACUAAUGAACCGUGAGGCUUAACCU
rnacentral:rRNA from 1 species